CGUGUUCUGGUCUUGGCCCUGCAUUACAAAUAACAGCUGCCAAGUUUUUUCCCCACAGCACGCAGAGGGAAGCAGGCAGAUAAAGGUCUGCACGACCCGCUGCUGGGGGAGAUGGUAUCUAAAUAGGAUUUUUGUUUAAAACCCAAGAUAAUAGCGAUAACGCUAAUAAUAAUAAUAAUCCUAAUAAUCCCUCUUUUCAGGUUACUUCAAAGCCCAAAUCUUAUCCUAAAGAAGAAAAUUAUUCUAAGCCUCAGAGAAUGCAUUGAAAAUUAAUAUUGAUUAUUAGGAAUAAUCAUCCUACAAGGAAUGGCACUGCAGUGCCUGGGGAGGGGGUUCCUCCAGGGCCGGGCAAUAAUCACACUACUCCUAUUGAGCUGUGCCCAGAGUGAGUUAACCCCCUCUGUGCCAGCUGUGCCCGAGGUGCUGCAGUGCCUGGUUCACAGCCCCACACAAUGCACUGCUAUGCCACUUAGUGCCACACAAAGCAACGCUGAAAGGGCUUUCAGAACUCACCAUGUUGAGGCAGAAGUCUAUGGAAGAUGUUUAAUACUAAUUCUAUUAGGCAUCUGAGUUAAUGAAUCACAACUGUAAGAAAUCAUGAUAAUCCAGCAGGCAUUAGUGACAGAUUAGCUUCAAAGCUACCAUAAAAGUGCCAUAAUGCUUACCUAGCAGCGUGAUUAAUGCCGGCAAUACAUAAUGUCAUUAUGAGGAAUGGAGCGGCGUGGCGGCAGCUGACAGCCCCUUUGCUCUGGCCAUGGCCAAAGCAGUGCAGUGCUGAUGGAUCCCCACAGGAUGGGUGUUGCUGGGGUGCUGAGCUCACAGCCAGAACGUCCUCCUAAGCUGGGAUGCAACCAGAGCUCAGGACCCAUUGCUCCCAAGGAUCCCAGUAGGAGCUCCUUGCCCAGCCCAUGGACACCAAGGCACAGCACCACGCAUGACAGCAGAGGCCCAGUGGGUGUCCUGUCUUCCUGGAAUUUGUUGGCUAUCUAAUGAGAAGCAGCCUGGUGAACGAUGUUAAUGGAUAAAGGCACCUCAUGUGGGGGGCCACACUGAGUGAUACGAAGCGGAGCCACCUGACAGCAGCCUGAUGGGAGUGAUAGUGCAGAGGGCAGGAAGCAACAUGAAGAGCCACCCCGGGACUUGCAGGGCUCUCCAAGCAGACGGAACAGAGGGAGAGGUGCACAAAGAGCCCGGUGUGCUGCCCCAAAGGCCCUUCUGUGUUCCUUGAAAACCUGUUAUGCUUCUUGUUGGGGCUGGGGAGGGGAAUCGGGGUCAGAGGUGCUCCUGGGGCGUGGGGUUGGGGAUGCUCCCUGGGGUCUGGGUGAGGAAAGGGGAAGGCACACAGACGGGGCGAGGAAAGAAGGGAAAGGGAAGGAGAGCGGCGUGCGUGCGUGUGACUGCGGGGAGAAACAGGAUUCAUGGUAAUUUCCUGCCAGAUGCCUGAACUCCUCCAGCAUGCAGACAUUUCACAUGUGAAAUAUCAAAGCGUUCCCAAUAACAAAUGUACUUCCUGCAGCUCCUCAGAUCUGCCUCCGUGCCAGCAAGGGAGCCGGGCAGGGAACGCCGCUGCAGUGCUGGGGGUGCCGGGCUCAGCAAAAGGCUAUC
ensembl:lncRNA